rnacentral:misc_RNA from 1 species
ACAUGGCCGAUUCCUUUUUCUUGUAACCUUUUAUUGCACCCAUUGCGACGGGAAAUUAUUGGUCCUGUACAUGUAGGUUUAUAAUAUCCCCAUUCCCAGCCCAUUUCAUCUUUCAAUCACUAGUUUCCUCAUUUUUCAAUUGGAAACAUUCACUCGAAAUCCUAUACCCAUCCCUAGAUAAAUCGUACAGCAUUGUCUCUGCAUCAGAUAAAACCUGUUUUGAAAAAUUGUGAUACCGUACAUGUAUUUUUCAUCUCUACUAGAAAAUUACUAUAAAAACUACAAAUUUACGAGAUGCCGACUGAUGUUUUAUGAAAAUGCGCCGUAUUAGAUUUCAUAUAGAUUUUUAUACCAAGCAUUUUAUAGAUUUUUCCUGAUACAUUUCUAUCGUUUUAACGCUACAUCAGCAAUUUGAGUUUCAUUUUGUCCACAUCAAGAGGUCAUUGAAACAGAAACCAAGCUGCAGAGCUUACCAAAAUAAGAAAAAAAUAAAAUAAAACUAAAGCUGACAGAGAUGUAUUUCUCAUUAAAAAGGCCAUUGUGGAAAAGAAGAAUGUUAAUCUUCCCGUUCGACAGGUCCAUUAAGCCCCAGAAAAGCAUUAUCUUUGAUCUUAAUGAAACUAUCCUUUUAUAAGGAAUCACUCAUACGAUGGCUUCAAUUAAUUAAUCAUAUGAUUUCAGCUGCCUGGAUGUCUGCUGAUCCUAAAUUAGUUGAGCAUGCCAUUCGUGAAGAGGAAAAGAAAGCAAAAGAAAUGGAGAAAAAGCUGGAGGGAUAUCUUGUAGAGACUGGCGUAAGGCGUCAAUAUUUCAUGUUUUACCUGUCUCUAGUCAUACAAAUACAAGUGCAAUUUUAACAUGGCCUUGGACUUUAGAUAGGAUGUAAUAAUCUAUUUCUUGCAUGAAACAAGUUAAAACUGACGCUGGUUUCAAUUGAGAUAUGUACAGACUACGUAGUAUUAGCUUAAAAGCCAGAAAUAUAUCUUGUUAAUUUCAAAAAGCAAUGCCCGAGUGGCAAACAAUGAAAUAAACAGGCUUACGUCACAUUGCCGUUUAACACAACUACCAAAAGUCCAAGCUCUUGUUACAAUAGCUUUAUUCCCAUUCCCUAUAUCUCUGGAGCACUACUUGAAAAGGAAUUUUUUUCUUAUUAAACUCCCACUGAGUAUAACUCUGCAUAAUUUUUGUACUCAGUACCACUUAACAUACAUCAUUAUGUUAUUUCAGUAUACGGUAUCACAUACUAUAAGCGGCUUGAAUUCUGCAGAAACAAUUUUAAGCGCCACUUGUUUACGUUCUUAUAAAUACAUACAUUUCAUGUUUGCGUUACAUAGAUAGAGGGACAAGUCAUCAUUACAAAGGGGGAUCCAGGACCUACUUUAAUCAAACUAGCGGAUGAAUUCAACGCUGCCUACAUAGUUACAGGAACAAGGGGUCACGGGAAAAUAAGACGGACUAUUUUAGGAAGCGUUAGUGAUUAUGUGAUGCAUCAUUCCCAUGUGCCUGUUCUCAUUUAUAGGAGUUAGGUUCAUCCUUCCUACGCAACCAAGAUCGAAGCCAUGCAGCUCAACAAGAUGAUGGAAUAACACCGAUUGACCAAUAAAGCAGAAUAAAAUUCAAUCAUAAAGGAGUUGAUUUCUGAAUAGAAACAAUAGUAAGACUUAUUAACCCCAGGCACUUCCGAGGGAUUUGCUUGGGAUAUUUUACUUAUUUUAAUGAUCGUAUAACCAUUCCACAAUCUUAUGAAGCAUAAUGUAGUUAUUUCAACGUGAAAAUAGAACUGUAGAUCUGUGAAAUCGGUCAGUGUUUAUAGUCUUUGUUCGUUUGCUUUUUUUACGGUCUCUGUAUGUUUGUUUGCCGGACUAAAAGCUUUAGCUCUAGGCUUGAUUAGUUCAAGUUUCAUAUGCAUGCAUGAGUUACAAACUCGGGACAUAAAUACCCCGACAUUUGCUAAAUGCAAAUUUGAUUUUUUGAUGUUGUAUUACCGAUUGUUCAAGUAAAAUUUUACGCAAAUAUUUUUUUUGCUUAUAAAACUUGUUUAAAUACGCAAAAUAAAUUUUGCAAUAUAUAUUUUGUAUAUAUUCAACAAUAUAAUGUUUUGUAUUUUAGAUAAAUUAAUAAACUUUUCUAUAAA